UUUCUCUCAAGACCACAUUUACAUAGUUAAUGGGUUUUGUUGUUUGUCCUCACAAUGCUAUUGGACAGAAUAAGUGUUUAUAGGUCCGGUCAUCUGGCCACGAACUCACUCUACCUGCAAACUUCACGUCAAGCUCAUCUCCUUUUUUUACAUGACAGGAUUUGUCAAGAUUCAAAAUGCCAAGAUGUCAUCGGACCACCAUCCACUGGAUGUACGCAAAGACAUGAUUGCACAUUUCCCAGUAAAGACGAAGAGAGGACGCUGCAGACACUGCAAUAAUGGAUACACAAAUACACUGUAUCAAGUCCAAUGUUCACCUGAGCUUCUCAGAUGAACAGAACUGUCUUAGGGACUAUCACUGCAAAACUCAGACUUCAUUCAAACCACACUGAAAGUGAUAGAAGAAAAAGAUUUAUAAAUACAAUUUUUUCCAAUAUUUUUAUUAAUAAAUGCUUAUUCAUAAAAA